rnacentral:misc_RNA from 1 species
AUAUUCUCAACCUUCUUGGUUUCUUUGACCACGAAGGCUUGGACUUUGGAGGUUUUUCUUGCUGGCCUCUUUUGAAGCCAGCUCCUCCUAAAUAAAUGGGUGGGGUCCGCUUUGCUGAUCCUCGACGUUGAUAAGCAUUUCUUCUACGUCUCAGUGUCAGCUCGGAACCCGCUUUCCAACCGUCUUUGGACAAAGACAAUGUUCGAGUUGUGACUCGACCUCACAAA